rnacentral:lncRNA from 1 species
AUUUUAUUUAGCCCAUAAUUCUGUGGCUCAGCCAUGUGAUCCUGCUGAGAAAGUUCGGCUGACCUCUGCUGGGUUUUCUCAUGCGUCUAUUGCCAGACUGUAAGGUUAGCCAAGAGAAAGGACUAGUAGACCCAAGGCAAGCAAGUUUUGUUGUCCUGCCAGGCUGCUUGACAGGCAGAGGAGGCAGCCUGGCUUACAGACUACAGCAGGGCUUUAUAGGCCGAGGAACUGGGUCAGAAUGUGGGGACUGAGUCAGGGCUACAGGUGUCCUAACCGCAUCCUGGAGAUGUUUGUUGCCAGCUUUGUUAUGCAAGGUGGAGAGUAGAAGAGAGGAUAAUAUAAAGAUCACGCCAAGUGAGUUUGUAAGAUUGGGUAAGGUAUUUGAACUCCUUAAUAUAAGUGUCGGGAUCAGAGAAAAAGGACUCCAGAUGUUUUUCAAUUUGGAAAUGGUCAGAGAGGGAGAAGGGAACAUGGAAAUGCAAAUGAUCCCUUCAGUCCCAGCCACCUCUCAAAGGAUUGCUCUCAUGGAUCUUCAGCCAAGGCUAGAAAUCAAACCAUUCUAGGAUUCACCUGGAAGUGCUGGGAAAAUUGUACUGAAUUUGCUAUUCCAGGGAUAGCUCUGUCUUAGUCUGUUCUCACGCUGCUACUAAAGACAUACUUUCCUUAUAAAGGAAAGAGGUUUAAUUAACUCACAGUUCCACAUGGCUGUGAGGCCUCACAACCAUGGCAGAAAGCAAAGAAGGAACAAAGUCAUGGCGGCAGGCAAGAGAGCUUGUGCAGGGGAACUUCCCUUUGUAAAACCAUAAGAUCUCCUGAGACUUAUUCACUACCAUGAGAACAGUAUGGGGGAAACUGUCCCCAUGAUUCAAUCAUCUCUACCUGUCUGCACCCUUGACACAUGGGGAUUACUACAAUUCAAGGUGAGAUUUGGGUGGGGACACAGUAAAACCAUAUCAGCUCUUUACUCAUUCCAUGACUAUCUAUUAUAGUUAUCAUUUGUAAGCAGUAUCAGAGACACUAGGUAUUCAGUGACAACAGAAAAGAAAUCUUUGUGACCUCAUUGAGAUAAUCUUUUUAACAUGGAAAAGAAUGUAAAGUUGCAAACAAUUGAAUUGCAAAGGAAUUUUUCAGAUUUUGCUGGGAAGAUUUUUGGCUUAGUAUAUCUGAAAAUACCCACAUUUUCAAUUUAUUUUAAGAUAUAAAAUUUGUAGGUACUACUUUUGUGAUAUUUGACGCCAGAUACUUCCUUAUGGCAAGAUCUUUUCCUCUGUACCCCUAGUCCUUUGCUAAAGAGGGGAAUACAAGUUUCUGUAUUACCAGCCUAUAGUACUUGCGGGCCAAUGAGAAGUAAAAUGCAUUAAGUAGUUUAUAAUCCUGCAGUACCCCUUAAGGUUUCUUUCUUCUAUUAUAAUAUUAUGACACAAAUGUCUGGUAGUAAAUAGAUGUGCAAAUAUAGUGAAAUUAUUCUUGUUCUCUAAACUAUCUUAUAAUAAUUAUAUUUACAUAUCUUGUUCUUUCUGUGUUGGUCAGAUAGUUGAAAUGCAUAGUUGUUCUGAAAAAGGGCCUAUAAAUUAGGGAACUUUGAACAAAGAUGACAUCAGUAUUUUUUUUUAUAUGAUAGCAAUUUUAGUGGUUCAUUUCUGAAGAACUUAAUUUGUUUAGCUUAAAAACACAAGAUACUUCACUUAAAAUAUUUGUGAAAAUUAAGAGCAUCAUUAAAAUAAGCAUACUCUGUUGUUUUUGUAAAUAUCAAACAUAAAUAUGAAACAUGGCAGCUCUAUUUAUAAUUACAAAACUUGGAAGCAACCAUAUUGUUUUUCAAUAGGUGAGUGGAUAAACAAACUUUGAUAAAUCAUACAAUAUAAUAUUAUUUAGUGAUAAAAAGAAAUGAACCAAUAAACCACAAAAAGACAUGGAAGAAAAUUAAAUGUAUAUUACAAGGUGAAAGAAAUUAGUCUAAAAAGGCUAAGUACAGUAUGAUUCUCAAAUAUAUGACAUUAUGGUAAAUGCAAAAGAUAGUAAAAAGAUCAGACGUUUCCAGGGGCUUUGUGAAGAGGGUAUGAAAGGUGAGAGAUGGAACCCUGAGCAUUUUCAGGGCAAUAAAACUAUUCUAUAUGAUGCUGUACAGAUGGAUUUAUAACAUUAUACAUUUGUCACAGCUGUAGAAUGUACAACUUAAGAGUGAACACUAAUAUAAACUAUGGAUUUUCCUUGAUAAACUUGUAAUAAUACUGGCUCCUGAAGUGCAAAAAAUGUACCAUACUAAUGCAAGAUCUUGAUAAUAGGGGAAACUCUGUAUAUGUGUGCAUAUGUAUGUGCAUUGGGAGGAGAAUGUAUAUGGAAACUGUAACCUUUGCUCAGUUUUUUUUGAAACUUAAAACUAGUUUAAAAGAAU